ensembl:lncRNA
AUGAGGCACAAUGACCCAGGCUUUCAAUUCAGAUUUACAGUUCAACAUCUAUUAAGAGCAAGUCAAUGCCUCCAGUGGGGGAUCGUCACAGUGCAAAAGCACUAUUGUGUUGGGCUUUGCUGCUCAAACUUAAAAAACAAAACAAAGAAAAAACAAACACAACGUUUGGGAGGGUGACAAAGUAAACACCAAUACAGAUGAUGCUGGACAAACAUGUAUUUGGGGGAAAAAUCAUAAAUGGAUCUGUUGUCUCACAGGUGUGGAAUAUUCAAGGACAAACUUGAUUGCGGAUACACAAGGGACUUUCUCAGUUUUAGCAUGAUGAUGAGUUGAAUACAUGCACCGUGAGCAUGUUAACAGAGCUCAAACACUGCUGGGUCACAUGCGGGACAUUUAGACUAAAGAUUAAGUUAAGGUCAUGACCUUGGUAGAUUCCAAAUGACCAAAUUUAAUUUAAAAUGUUUUUUACUUUUUAUAUUACAUAUACAUUUACAUUUUAUGUUUUAUAUGCCUUUUAAUUGUAUAUAUUUAUAUUCAUAUUCAAAUGCUUUUUAUUUUUUUAUUAAACAGCUUUAGGAUUUUGAAAACAUUUAAAACAACAACUAAAUAAUUAAAUAAAUAACUUAAAUAGUGUGACAUACAUAAAUAUAUAUAUAUAUAUAUAUAUUAAUUUUACAUUUUAUAUACUAAAAAUUGUUUUACCUUUUCCUUUUAUUUAAUUAUAUUCAUACUCAAAACCAACAUAUUUACAGGGUUCAAAAGGUCUUAGAUUUGCUUUUCUGCUUUUCACAUUAAACUUAAACGUUGAAAUAAACAGUUUUAGAACAUGUAGAAAAUUAAGAAAAUUUUAAAACAAAUAAAACUUAUUAAUAAAUAAAAAAUUUAUAUAAAUACAAAAUUUUAAUUAAAUUAAAUACUAUUAAUUUUUUUAUCCGAUUUUUAUAUUUUGUUAAAAAUGGUUUUAUGUUUUGCUUUUGUAUAUUUAUAUUCAUAUUGAAACUGUACUUGGUUCAUAAGAUUGAUUUUAAAAUAAAAUAUUCAUAAACUAAAAUACAAAAAAUAAACUGUACUAUUUCUGUUAUUAAUCGAAAAAGCAAAUUUGUGAAAUUAUACUUCACUCCUUUGUACAGAUGAUCUAUCUAUCUAUCUAUCUAUCUAUCUAUCUUGAUAAUAUAAGUUGUGCCAUAAAAAAAAAAAAAAAAAACAUUUACAUGAGCAGUCUCAAACUUUUUUUUGAGUUUAUUAUUCAUAAAAACACAGUCCGCAUUUGAUCACGGGUUGCUAGAAUGCGUUUUAAUGCUCUUUGAUUGAGUCCCUUUUUUGUGUUGAGGUUAAGGAGUAAUUAAUCACAACAUUUUUACACUAAACAUUACAUAAUUUUUUUUUACAUAAUCAUGUGUGGCGCUCUCACCUGCGAUGACACCGCCGAAAGGGCCCCGCCGAACCCUCGUCAUUACACCCAACAAUAACACAGGUGUGUGAAAAAUGGAAAACUGGCAAGCGAUAUGAAUUAUUAAUGUCAAACUUAAGUAUUAGAACACGAAAUCAACCA